GGUGUGACCACUGGCAACCAGACUGAGUGCUUAUCUUAAGUUGUUCUGCUGAGAGAAAUAUUGAGCCUCACUUGGGCUUUUUGGUGCGCUGUUGGUUAGAUUCUGGAAGUGCCAGUCAGUUAAGGAUCACUUGAGUCUUCCUCGAAUAAGUAGCGGGAUCUCCUUUUCGUGCUGACGUGGAUAUUAAAUGGGUUCAUCAUUGGCCAUUGUAAAAUGAUUACUACCGUAACGGAACGCUUUAUUUUGAAAAUACCCCGAACAAAACACUUUCCAGUUCUUUCCAUCCUGAGUUGAUUAUGAUUGAAUCAAAGCAACGUGAAACUAGAAAAAGUAAGACACCCCCCUCCCCCACGACCAAGCGAGAAAAGAAAGGAAAGAUGGGAAGGAGGAAGGAAGCCGACUCAUCAGAAUCGCAACACUCGCCUGUGCGCGUGCGCGCCUGCUGGUGCGUUUCUCUGCAACAAGUCUCUCUGAGACUUCUGCAUAGCACUUUCUGCUCUGCGCCCGGUACCCAGAGAACGGCGGGGAUCACAUUAUAAGACAAGAGGAAAAACGGGGAAUCAAAAGGAAGAAGCUGAAUCCCCCUGACUACACUGGGGUCCCCUUGAGUGCAUUCCAUUGACAGAUAUUUAUAAGAAUUAGAAAACUUAUAUUUAUUUAUAGGAUAUUUAGAAGAGACUGAAAAGUUGCUUAAUUAAGGCUGGCCAUGAAAACUUCAGACCCUGUGCCUGCUAUACUAUAUAGUUGUGGAUAUAUGCAUAAGCAGAUGUCUAUAUAAUGUUAAUACAUACGGCACCUUAUGGAAUCAAAGCUUACAUAUGAUUUAUAACUACAUAUAUGUAAGUAUUCAAUACUACAUAAAUAAACUAGAGUGGCCAACAGAAGCUAUAACGUACAAAGCAAACAUUUUACUAUGAACCACUCAAUAUGUGCUUAAUUUGAACCACCAGGAAGGCUGGCCAUUUUCCUUGGUAUUAGUUAACAGAAGCGAAUAGUGCUGUUUAGCCACCCGUGAUCUGUCUGAUUAACAUGAAAGUCAAAUCGCACCAAGAACCACAGCUACACGCAUGAAAUCAUCCUUUGGCCUGUUCUUAGAGGCUCAGUAGGAAAUCUGCCCUAACCAGGGUGAUGGUCACUAUCCAUUUUCAAGAUGCAGGCAAGCUGAGGGGGAGAAUCCGGGCUCAUCUCUGUAAGAAAUGUAGGCCUGGAAACCAGUGCUCAGCUGCCUUGAAGCUGUUGUGUUGGUUUUGAAGUUCACACACAUUAAAACUGCAUCAUCUAUCAAUCUUACAGUUAGGUGUCACUUAUGAAAAUCUACUGAGUAUUGUUUUCAUCUUGCCUUACAACAAGCCGCGAAGCCUCAUGAAUACUGAGCAGUGCUGGAACUCGGCGCAUCUCUUAUUUUUUAAAGGUCUCAGCAGUUUGGAAUGUCAGGGUUUCUGUGUUGGAAAUCGCACGUCAGCGCACUGAGUUGGGGCUUCCUUCUCCAGUUUCCAUCCCGCCCAGGAGCAAGAGGCAAGCCACCUCACAUCAUCAGCAUGACUGUGACUCAGGUGGUUCUGCUGACUCAAUGGCACCUCCUGGCUUUGAACCCUGUUGGCAGCGUAAGUCAUUAAUGGGAGGGACCACUCGGUUCAAGUGGGCAUUGCUAUGCAGGUGUGACCCAGAGAGCAAAUGAGUUGGACAGACACCUGGGUUGCCAUUUUUAUCAGCUUCUCUGUCAAUUUGUCCUUAGCCUUCCAUUGAUUUGAUAGGAAGGAAGAGGGGCAGAAUCUAAGAGAAAACACUUAAAAUUACCAGACAUUCCUGUCUACUUUCUUUUUGAAGUUCACGUUGACAGUUUAUCACUAUAUCCCAAGCAGUUGCUGCCCCUCUAGCACAGAGAGCUUUACGAGACAGACAGCGUGCCUGCUCACGAGGAAUUUGCCUUGGCAAUAUGAGACGUGAUGAUGAUGAUGGUGGUGAUGGUAAUGAUUAUGAUGACAACGACAAUGAUGACAGCAGGUGAUCUGAGAGGUGCUGACUAGGUGUGAGGACAUGUACCCGUUGUGUAAAUCUUUGUUCUAAGCAAUUUACCAGUAACAACAUAUUCAAUUUUUAAUCAGGACCUCAUGAUAUACAAUUAUUAUUAAAGCUUUUAUGGAAUAUUCUUCCUGGGUGGAGAAAACAAAACGAAACAAAACGCAGUGAGUGGCUUGGUGCUAUAUUGGUCUCUAUGUCUCCGUGGCUGCCGUCGGUUGGAGCAGUGCAGAGCCUCCCCCUCCCUGUCAGUGUGGACGCACGUUCUGUAGUUCCUGGCCCUGUGGUUUAACUUCAUGCUCUCUGCCUGGUGCAGCCAUUGGGCUGGCUCCGUUAGUAAAAAGUACUUGGAUAGUUUUUAUUAGAGAAUCUCUCCUUCUUUCCUCCCUUCUGUUCCUCCUUCUCCUCUCUCUCUCUCUUUUCAUCUCACUGCCCCUUCCCUCCCAGCGUUCCAUGGAGCCCAGGCUAGGUGGAAGUGUGCUAUGUUCUUGGGUAGGACCUAAACUUCGGAUCCUCGCGCCUUCAUCUUUGGAGUGCUGAGACUGCAGGCAUGUACCACCACGUCUGAUUUAUACAGAGCAGGAAAGGAGACCAGAGCUCUGUGCUUAGUGGGCAAGCACGCUACCAACUGAGCCGUAUCCCAGCUCCUGCAUAUUUUCUAUAGCUUUUCUAGUUCCCGAUUUUAGAAGAAGGAGAAUCUCUCUUUAUAUUUACAUACUUCAUCAUCAUUCUAAACAUGCAUACAUUUUGUAUGGCCCGUUCAGAGUGGCAUUAGCAGAACCUGGCCCUUGAAAGCGAUUGGAAUGUUUUUGGAAUAUUCAAUAUCAACUCAUGUCAUCCUUGCCACUUUCAGCUGAAGAUCCAAGUCAAUCAAUCUCCCAGUGGAGAUGAGUAUACAGCAGGCAUCAAUAAAAAAAAACAUUAGCACAUGAGGCUCGUUAAACCAUCUCUUGCUCUUGUAGAAGACCUAGAUUCACUUCCCAGCACCCAGGUCAGGAGGCUCACAACAACCUAUAACUCCAGCUCUAUAGACUCUGGCACCCUCUUCUGGACUCCUUGGGUACCUGCACUCAUAUGCAUGUACACACCCAGAGACACAUACAUGUAGACAAAAAAUAAAAUUAUAUCUUU
rnacentral:lncRNA from 1 species